rnacentral:rRNA from 1 species
UACGUAGGGUGCAAGCGUUAAUCGGAAUUACUGGGCGUAAAGCGUGCGCAGGCGGUUUUGUAAGACUGUCGUGAAAUCCCCGGGCUUAACCUGGGAAUUGCGAUGGUGACUGCAAGGCUAGAGUUUGGCAGAGGGGGGUAGAAUUCCACGUGUAGCAGUGAAAUGCGUAGAGAUGUGGAGGAACACCGAUGGCGAAGGCAGCCCCCUGGGUCAAGAUUGACGCUCAUGCACGAAAGCGUGGGGAGCAAACAGG